AAAUGAAUAGACGGGAGCCCGCACAAGCAGUGGAGUAUGUGGUUUAAUUCGACGCAACGCGAAGAACCUUACCAGGAUUUGACAUGCCAAGUACUCGGCGUAAUGGCUGAGUGACCUCGAAGCUUCGGCAGAGAGGAAGGACACAGGUGGUGCAUGGUUGUCGUCAGCUCGUGUCGUGAGAUGUUGGGUUAAGUCCCGCAACGAGCGCAACCCUUAUGUUAAGUUGCUACGCAAGAGCACUCUUGACAGACUGCCGUUGACAAAACGGAGGAAGGCGGGGACGACGUCAAAUCAUCAUGCCCCUUACAUUCUGGGCUACACACGUACUACAAUGGCGAAAACAAAGGGGAGCGAAGCCGCGAGGUGGAGCAAAUCCCAAAAAAGUCGCCCCAGUUCGGAUAGCAGGCUGCAACCCGCCUGCUUGAAGUUGGAAUUGCUAGUAAUCGCGGAUCAGCAUGCCGCGGUGAAUACGUUCCCGGGCUUUGUACACACCGCCCGU
rnacentral:rRNA from 1 species